AGAGUUUGAUCAUGGCUCAGGAUGAACGCUAGCGGCGUGCUUAAUGCAUGCAAGUCGAACGAGGUAUGAUUUCGGUAGUGGCGAACGGGUGAGUAAGACGUUGGUGACCUACCUUAGAGAGGGGAAUAACCAGUGGAAACGCUGGCUAACACCCCGGACGUUGCGCUGGUUAGAGAGGUGCAACUAAAACCCCGGUGCUCUAAGAGGGGCCAGCGGCCCAUCAGCUAGUUGGUGUGGUAACGGCAUACCAAGGCAAGACGGGUAGGGGGCGUGGGAGCGUGACCCCCCACACUGGUACUGAGAAACGGACCAGAUACCUACGGGUAGCAGCAGCAAGGAAUAUUGCCCAAUGGACGGAAGUCUGAGGCAGCAACGCCGCGUGAAGGACGAAGGCCUUCGGGUCGUAAACUUCUUUUCUGAGGGAAGAGAAGGGACGGUACCUCAGGAAUAAGCUUCGGCUAACUACGUGCAGCAGCCGCGGUAACGU
rnacentral:rRNA from 1 species